GACGAACCGAGCGAACGUUGUUCGGAAUCACUGGGCUUAAAGGGCGCGUAGGCGGGCAUCAUAGUCUGUGGUGAAAUCCGGCAGCUUAACUGUCGAAUUGCCAUGGAUACUGGAUGUCUCGGAGGGAGGCAGGGGUGCGCGGAACUAAUGGUGGAGCGGUGAAAUGCGUUGAUAUCAUUAGGAACUCCGGUGGCGAAGGCGGCGCACUGGUCCUUUUCUGACGCUGAGGCGCGAAAAGCCAGGGGGAGCAAACGGGG
rnacentral:rRNA from 1 species